UACAGGGGGGCAAGCGUUGUUCGGAAUUACUGGGCGUAAAGGGCGAGUAGGCGGCCAACUAAGUCCGACGUGAAAUCCCAGGCUUAACCUGGGAACUGCGUCGGAUACUGGAUGGCUUGAAUUCGGGAGAGGGAUGCGGAAUUCCAGGUGUAGCGGUGAAUGCGUAGAUAUCCGGAGGAAUACCAAAGGCGAAGGCAGUGUCCUGGCUGGCAUCUGACGCUGAGGCGCGAAAGCUAGGGAGCGAACAGG
rnacentral:rRNA from 1 species